rnacentral:rRNA from 1 species
GUCUGAGAGGAUGGUCAGCCACACUGGGACUGAGACACUGCCCAGACUCCUACGGGAGGCUGCAGUCGAGGAUCAUUUACAAUGCGCGAAAGCGUGAUAAUGCGACGCUGCGUGGAGGAUGACGGCCUUCGGGUUGUAAACUCCUGUCAUGAGGGAAAAAUUGCGCGUGUGUUAAUAGCAUAUGUGUUUGAUGGUACCUCAAGAGGAAGCCACGGCUAACUUCGUGCCAGCAGCCGCGGUAAUACGAAGGUGGCAAGCGUUGUUCGGAUUUACUGGGCGUAAAGCGUGCGUAGGUGGUUCCGUGUGUCGGGUGUGAAAGCCCACGGCUCAACCGUGGAAUGCCAUUCGAAACUGCGGAACUUGAGUGCAGGAUGGGAGAGCGGAAUUCUUGGUGUAGCGGUGAAAUGCGUUGAUAUCAAGAAGAACACCGGUGGCGAAGGCGGCUCUCUGGAAUGCAACUGACACUGAGGCACGAAAGCUGGGGGAGCAAACAGGAUUAGAUACCCUGGUAGUCCCAGCUGUAAACGGUGCGCACUUGGUGUUGGGGGUAUUGACCCCCCCAGUGCCGGAGCUAACGCAUUAAGUGCGCCGCCUGGGGAGUACGGCCGCAAGGUUAAAACUCAAAGAAAUUGACGGGGGCCCGCACAAGCGGAGGAGCAUGUGGCUUAAUUCGAUGCAACGCGAAGAACCUUACCAGGGCUUGACAUGCAGCUGCACGUCCCGUGAAAGCGGGAUUCCUUCGAGGGUGCUGCACAGGUGCUGCAUGGCUGUCGUCAGUUCGUGCCGUGAGGUGUUGGGUUAAGUCCCGCAACGAACGCAACCCCUGUGGUUAGUUGCCACCGCCGGUGAUGAGCCGGCGAGCACUCUAGUCAGACUGCCCGUACAAACGGGAGGAAGGUGGGGACGACGUCAAGUCAGUAUGGCCCUUACGCCCUGGGCUGCACACGUGCUACAAUGGCAGGUAUAGUUGGAAGCAAUACCGCGAGGUGGAGCAAAUCCUUAAAACCUGCCUCAGUUCGGAUUGGAGUCUGAAACUCGACUCCAUGAAGUUGGAUUCGCUAGUAAAGGCGUAUCAGCUACGACGCCUUGAAUACGUUCCCGGGCCUUGUACACACCGCCCGUCACAUCAUGAAAGCCGUCUGCACCCGAAGUCGCUGAGCCAACCCGCAAGGGAGGCAGGUUCCGAAGGUGUGGGUGGUGAUUGGGAUGAAGUCGUAACAAGGUA